AUUGAACGCUGGCGGCAGGCCUAACACAUGCAAGUCGAGCGAGCGGCGGACGGGUGAGUAAUGUCUGGGAAACUGCCUGAUGGAGGGGUAUAACUACUGGAAACGGUAGCUAAUACCGCAUACCAUCAGAUGUGCCCAGAUGGGAUUAGCUAGUAGGUGGGGUAACUGCUCACCUAGUCGACGAUCCCUAGCUGGUCGUAGAGGAUGACCAGCCAGACGGGAACUGAUACACGGACCAGACUCCGACGGGUGGCAGCAGUGGGGAAUAUUGCACAAGGGGCGCAAGCCUGAUGCAGCCAUGCCGCGUGUGGGAAGAAGGCCUUCGGGUUGUAAAGCACUUUCAGCGGGGAGGCGUUACCCGCAGAAGAAGCACCGGCUAACGCUGUGCCAGCAGCCGCGGUAAUUC
rnacentral:rRNA from 1 species